GUCCUACCAAUUGACAAAGACUUCUGUGUGGCCCAGGAGAGUCCCAUCUUGGCCAGCGCCCUGGAAUGGAUGGCAGGGGAGACAUUCAGUGGGCGCAUCAGGCUUGCACAGGGAGUUUUGCUGCAGGACAAGUGGGGACAUGGGCACAGCUGCCCAUAGCCUCUUGGCUGCUCUCAAGGAGCCUGUGUGGACCACACCGCCAUCACUCCAGGAAAGCAGACAGGAAGGAAGAAUGUGACAAACAGAGAAACCAGCUGUUAGAGCAAAGAAGGAUUUGGAUGCUGAAAAAAUGCCAGCGUGGAGGCCAGUUGCUCUGCCCCAAAGUCCUGCGUCUGUCCCUCGCCUGCUCCUGUUGAACUGCUCUGAGCUCAGCGCUUGCUAUUCUGGGAAGGAAUUUCCACCAAGCUGGUGCGUCUGCCGCCUGAGGUUCCCUCUGAUUGACUGAUGAGCAGGUGGUGAAGAGCCUGUGGCUGAAAUAUCACAGACCCCGUGCUCAUCUUUAUUUUAUACCCAAGUCUGUGAUUGUGUUUGAAUGUUUUGUUUCUUCACAAUGAAGAGGUAAGUAAAUGACUGCUGACAUAAUUACUUUUCCAUGGGUAUAUAUACACAUUUAUUAGUACCAUUAUUUAUUUGUGAUUUGUCUGUAUAAUAUUGAGGUUAUUAUUACACAAUUUAAACCAAAACAAAUAUAGUCGCGCAGAACUCUGUAAUAGAAGGUGUUGGCAUUAUGAUUUUAAGAAGCCACACAACUAUCUUGGCUGUAAGCAAAUCCAUUAUAUCGGAAAAAAAUAAGUCUUGAAAUUCCUUUCAAAGCCGCAUGUCAUGCAAGCUCCUGAAACAGUCACGUCAUAAUCAGAGGAAAGGUACAGGAUGAAACAGUAUAGUAUUAAGUUGCUAUACUCUUGACAGAAAAUUUUCGAGAACUUAACCACAGACCUAGUGAAUGACAGGGUGAGUGUCCUUACCCUGAGAGUGCAUGCCCACCCCCCACCAUGGUCUCCACCCCCUUCACACCCUUGGCCCACGGAAGCUGCCCCCAGCACUCCCUCCCAGUGGCA
rnacentral:lncRNA from 1 species